GGAGAGGUGGCCGAGUGGUUGAAGGCGCACGCCUGGAGAGCGUGUUAGGCUAAUCACCUACGUGGGUUCGAAUCCCACCCUCUCCGCCA
rnacentral:tRNA from 1 species